CAAGAUGAAGCUUUAAGAAGUUUUUCUUUUACAUUGAAAAGAUUUCAAAAUUUUUGAAUUUCUUGA
rnacentral:tRNA from 1 species